ACGGCUCAGUAACACGUAGUCAACAUGCCCAGGGGACGUGGAUAACCUCGGGAAACUGAGGCUAAACCGCGAUAGGCCAAGAUUUCUGGAAUGGAUCAUGGCUUAAAUCUAUAUGGCCCCUGGAUUGGACUGCGGCCGAUCAGGCUGUUGGUGAGGUAAUGGCCCACCAAACCUGUAACCGGUACGGGCUCUGAGAGGAGGAGCCCGGAGAUGGGCACUUAGACAAGGGCCCAGGCCCUAUGGGGCGCAGCAGGCGCGAAACCUCUGCAAUAAGCGAAAGCUUGACAGGGUUACUCUGAGUGAUUUCCGCUAAGGAAGUCUUUUGGCACCUCUAAAAAUGGUGCAGAAUAAGGGGUGGGCAAGUCUGGUGUCAGCCGCCGCGGUAAUACCAGCACCCCGAGUGGUCGGGACGAUUAUUGGGCCUAAAGCAUCCGUAGCCGGUCCUGCAAGUCCUCCGUUAAAUCCACCCGCUCAACGGUUGGGCCGCGGGGGAUACUACAGGGCUAGGAGGCCAGUGGCGAAGGCGGCUUGCCAGAACGCGCUCGACGGUGAGGGAUGAAAGCUGGGGGAGCAAACCGGAUUAGAUACCCGGGUAGUCCCAGCUGUAAACGAUGCAGACUCGGUGAUGGGCUGGCUUCGUGCCAACCCGGUGCCGCAGGGAAGCCGUUAAGUCUGCCGCCUGGGAAGUACGGACGCAAGUCUGAAACUUAAAGGAAUUGGGAGAGGCAAGCGGUACUCGAUGGGUAGGGGUAAAAUCCACUGAUCCAUUGAAGACCACGGCGGGGGAGCAC
rnacentral:rRNA from 1 species